CAGCAGGGGACACCGCGGGCUUGUAACGAUGAGUUCUCAGAGAAGCCAACCUGCCCAGGCUCCUGGAGCAAAAUCCAAGACUUACCCGGUUCCUUACUUCACCUCCAUC